UACGUAGGGGGCUAGCGUUGUCCGGAUUCACUGGGUUUAAAGGGUGCGUAGGUGGGCAAGUAAGUCAGUGGUGAAAUCUCCGGGCUUAACCCGGAAACUGCCAUUGAUACUAUUUGUCUUGAAUACUGUGGAGGUCAGCGGAAUAUGUCAUGUAGCGGUGAAAUGCUUAGAUAUGACAUAGAACACCAAUUGCGAAGGCAGCUGGCUACACAAAUAUUGACACUGAGGCACGAAAGCGUGGGGAUCAAACAGG
rnacentral:rRNA from 1 species